GACCGCGUAGCUCAGUUGGCAGAGCAUUGGGCUAGUAUUCCAAAGGUCGUAGGUUCGAUUCCCACAGUGGCCA
rnacentral:tRNA from 1 species